GGUGUUGUAGCUCAGUAGUAGAGCACUUGCCUCACAUGCAUGAGGCUCUAGGUUCGAUCCUCAGAACCA
rnacentral:tRNA from 1 species